GUUGGCAGAUUGUGCUGCAGAGGAAAUUCGCAUGUUACCUUCAAUGAACGAAAGGUGUUAGCUGAUGAAACGGUCCAGACGAAUUGGCAGGUUUUCAUGUUUGAAGAGACCAUGCUUUAAAUUUUUGAAUUCAGCCUCAACGUGGGAAGAGCUGGCAGUGAUGUUGUCACAUUUGAAAAAAGGAGCCAUUACACCUGUCCAGAGAGAUAUUGGUCACCCACUUUUUGACAUCAGAUGUACAUUCUUGGAUGGAGUGUGAUGGAUCUGGAGUGUCGAGACUUUCAUCAUUCCAUAGCAACAACUGCAAUCGAGUGAAUGAGCUGUCUGGCAUCUUGGAUUGUCACAGACUGAAGAACUUGUCCCAUGACUCUCAGCUGCUCCUGCCCUGCGCCAUUCAGAGAUCCAGUUUGCUAUGGCAUUGAUGUCAUGCCGCUCAGACAACAUUUGCACCACUGGGAUGUGAACAGACUCCUCUCCAUGUGAGGACAGAACUCCUUGGUAUAGGAAGAUAUGUCCUGAUGUUUCUGUUGGUCUGGACAUUAGACCAGGUGCCACGCUUCAGGAUGGUAUACAUUCUUUCGUUGGAUGGUGCAGAUCUGUUUUUAUAUACAGCCUCCUCUUACCAGAUUUCUCUCCACU